rfam:Pan troglodytes isolate Yerkes chimp pedigree #C0471 (Clint) chromosome 16, whole genome shotgun sequence.
GCCAGGCAUAGUGGUGAGUGCCUGUAGUCCCAGCUACUUGGGAGGCUGAGGCAGGAGAAUCGCUUGAACCUGGGGGGUGGAGGGUGCAGUGAGCCAAGAUCGCCCCACUGCACCCCACCCUGGGUGACAGAGUGAGACUCUGUCUCAA